GCCAUGUUGGCGUAGUGGUAGCGCGGCUCACUCGUAUCUGGCUGAGUAUAGAUGAACUACAUGCGAUGAGAAGGACACUCGUUCAAUCUGGGUACGCGGUA